rnacentral:lncRNA from 1 species
UGCUAUCUACCGAUCAAUGUACGGAUCUAUAAAUUACUUUUUUAAAACUGAAAUUAAAUUUCUUUACUUCCAAGCUUGUUUGCUCGAACACUCCCUCUAGCUGUUGUGUUCUCUUGAGUCUCUCGUGAACCCUAACUCCAACUCUCUCCCAGCAAUGAAACUUUUCUCUUUUGAAUAUCUGACUGGAGAAGCAUAGAGCAAGGAAGAAUAAGCGGN